GCUCUCGCUACGGGUCUCAUUGGGGGCGGGGGCGGUGGAGGAGGUGGCAGUGGCAAAGAGGAGACAGAUUGAGCCUCUCUUCCUGCGUCAGCAGCUUUGGGCAUGAGACGCAGUGGUGGCGGCGGCGGUGGACACGAUUCAAAAGCAGCCUUCUCGGGAGUAGUAAACCAAAAGAAAAACAAGAAGAAAAAAAGUUUCUUUCUGUACCUGGUCACGAAUAUGAAAAGCUGCAACCUUGGCCUCAGCAGCAGCAAGAUCCUGCGCAAGCUUCUUAUUCUGCAACUCGAGCUCGUCAUUGGAGCUCUGUGCCUUAUCCAGCUCCGCCUUCAAAGCCAAAACUUGAGACUGCAAAUC